UACGGAGGGUGCAAGCGUUAUCCGGAUUCACUGGGUUUAAAGGGUGCGUAGGUGGAUUGGUAAGUCAGUGGUGAAAUCUCCGAGCUUAACUCGGAAACUGCCAUUGAUACUAUCAGUCUUGAAUACCGUGGAGGUCAGUAGAAUAUGUCAUGUAGCGGUGAAAUGCUUAGAUAUGACAUAGAAUACCAAUUGCGAAGGCAGCUGGCUACACGAAUAUUGACACUCAGGCACGAAAGCGUGGGGAUCAAACAGG
rnacentral:rRNA from 1 species